CUGCAUUCCCAGUGGCUUGACCACUCAAGCCCACUGCAGUGGUGGUGUCCAGCUUCCCCGUGCUCGAGACUGGAAAGCUGAGCCCACAGUGUUGUUAGAGGGGCUCAGUGAAGAAGAGCUCCUGGCUGCAGCCCUGCAGAUGAGCUUGCAGGAGAGCCUGCAGUCAGGACCUUCCACAGCCCCUCAGGACAAGCAGGGAGAAUCACCAGGUCAGUGAUGUUUUUAACAUCACGGAGCAGAUGUGGCUCCAGUGUAAUGACCAGAGGGUCAUUACAUUAGUGACGUUUUUAACAUCGUGGAGCAGACGUGGCUCCAAUGUAAUAACCAGAGGGUGACGAGGACAGACGAGCUGUCUGUGCUGAAGCUGAGCUCCUCCUAUUUAAAUGCACUGUGUCUCGUCAGCAGGUGUGUGAGGUGAAGAGGAGGGAGAUCCACACCUGGGACUGAGACUGGGACUAAUAAAAGUGCCUGUUUCUUUUUUAA